AGUGCUGAUUGGUCCGACGUGGAUGCUUAGCAGCCCUCUUUAACUGUUCGUCUUUGCGCUCGCGGGUCAGCCGUGCUCAGAGCCCACGUCCCACAGCUGACCCUGGACCCCCGGGCGGUCCCGCAGCGCUGCGGCAGGCUGCUCUGACGACCGCGGCGGGGCGUGAGGGAGAUUGCGUUCCCCACCUUGCGGGGCCUGUCCGGCUCUCUCCUGAGGCCACUCCUCGUGCCCCCGUCCUUGGAGCCAGCGUGUCAGCGAGGAGCCGCAGCCAGAAAGAAUUGGGGCUUGGGGCCAAAGGGCUCCCAGGAGCUGUCAUUUCUGCAAGGGUCGCUCCAGGCACUCAGACGGGUGUGCGGGGCCUGCAGCGCUCCAUUGCAAACAGCUGAGGCGCCAUGGGCGACAGGAAAAAUGCCUUGAAGUUGUACAAUUGAAUAGUGUAAGAACAGAAUUUGCAAGAAAAGUGUGCGCUCCAGGAGAAGCUGAGAGAGAGAGAGCAGUGCUGCAUUGCACCCAGCUUAACCAGCAAUGGAUCCUGCUUGGUCAAAGUUGAAAGAUGGGACCAGCAUCCUUCACCAGCAUUGUUUUUCUACCAACAGUCCCCUGCAUCCUUGAGUACCCAGCAUACUGCAUCACUCUGCACCAGCAUCGCCCCCACCAAGAAGAUUGAGAUGGACCGUACCAUCAUGCCUGAUGGUGCUAUUGUGACCACUGUCACCACCAUUCAGUCCAGGCCCAAAGUGGACUGCAAGCUGGGUAAGGUCCGAUUUAGUAUGUGACUCUUAGACACGUUGCUGGUAUCUGUAGUGAGAAUAAAGCAGCUCUUAAUUUCACCAGGCUUAGUCCUAUAGCAUGUGGUUAGCUUCUGUAGCUGUCAAAUGCAGCAGUCCCUGCAAAUGUGCUCCUCAUGUAGAUAAUGAGAGGGGUGCCUGCAGCCUCUGGUGUGGGAAUGGGAUUAUUGGCACUGGGCGACGCUGCUGUUCUGUUGUUGACAUCAUGCUGCGACUGGGAAAGUACACUUGGCACCCAGGGCCUCUGCUUCUUGUCACAACCCAAAGUUGUGGUUUUUUGUUUGUGUGCACUUCGGCGCCGCUAAAUUACGUUCCUGCUAAAUUGCAGCUUCUCUGCACGGUGGAGUGUUCUGCUGCAAUAGGAGA